CAGUAGGCACACGACCAAUAGACACAUGCAAUCACACAUGGAUGGUACCACAAUCUUCCUAACCAUUUAACUAUUGAUUGGUUUUAAUAAUAUUUUUUGCAGACGGGGGCACAUGCCAUUUUUCUCCUUCACCAUGGGCCCUGAAUUGGCUGAACUCAAGGCAUGUCGAUGGGUUUCUCAGCUUACGCGUAAAUUAGAAGUGGUAAAACUUAUCCUGGAGACAGACACAAAAGAUAGCGGCUUUUAAGUUAAGAAGCCAAGAUAUUGAUAGAUCAAUCUAUGGCCCUAUCGCUAAGGAGGUAAAUGAACGCAUGCAAUCAAGGGAGGAGUACAUGGUGGUGUGGGUGAGAUACUUGGCUAAUGAAUGCGUUAUAUAAAACUUGGGUCGGGUAUCCAUCGAAUUGUAUUCAUGAUGCUAUGGAAUAAGAACAUAUUUUAUAUAGUUGUCACUAAGAUAGCAUCUAUAACUGGAUCUAGCCAAUCCAUCCACUGGACAUGCCAGAUCAGUUAGCCCUCUUUUCUCUCUGCAUGCAGUCAUGUUUCUCAUUUUCUCCUCUUAUCUCUGUUCACUUGUAUGUGAUUGAUGAAUAUGAAGAGGAAGAAAGAGAAGAAAGAAAGGUGGUCCGGGAUGGGCAGUGUCCUAUGUGACAGACUGCCCGGACGCGUCUGGAGCCUGCAUAUCCUCUUCAUAUUUUGUGCACAUACAAGGUUUGUGAACAACUUGGUCGUAUAGCGAUGAUAUGAGCGGUAUGGUUGGGUCACCUCUUUUCCUUCUCUUUCAUGUUUGUGGAGGAUUUGAUAGGGAGGGUUGUAGAUGCUCUAACAUUAUUGUUGUGUUAGCUGAG
rnacentral:lncRNA from 1 species